UACGAAGGGGGCUAGCGUUGUUCGGAAUUACUGGGCGUAAAGGGCGCGUAGGCGGUGUGUCAAGUCAGGCGUGAAAGCCCCGGGCUCAACCUGGGAACCGCGCUUGAGACUGGCACACUAGAGUUCGGGAGAGGAUGGUGGAAUUCCCAGUGUAGAGGUGAAAUUCGUAGAUAUUGGGAAGAACACCGAUGGCGAAGGCAGCCAUCUGGACCGACACUGACGCUGAGGCGCGAAAGCGUGGGGAGCAAACAGG
rnacentral:rRNA from 1 species